rnacentral:rRNA from 1 species
CGCUCGGCGGCGUGCCUAAUACAUGCAAGUCGAGCGAACUGAUUAGAAGCUUGCUUCUAUGACGUUAGCGGCGGACGGGUGAGUAACACGUGGGCAACCUGCCUGUAAGACUGGGAUAACUUCGGGAAACCGAAGCUAAUACCGGAUAGGAUCUUCUCCUUCAUGGGAGAUGAUUGAAAGAUGGUUUCGGCUAUCACUUACAGAUGGGCCCGCGGUGCAUUAGCUAGUUGGUGAGGUAACGGCUCACCAAGGCAACGAUGCAUAGCCGACCUGAGAGGGUGAUCGGCCACACUGGGACUGAGACACGGCCCAGACUCCUACGGGAG